GUAUGUAUUAUCUGGAUAUGUUUUCUCAUUUCCAUCAACUACACUCUGAUUUCUGGAAAGGUGCGGUUGGUCCUCACUGACUUGGAUAUACCAGUCUCCCUUAUGACAACUGAACCAAGUCCUGUCAUCAUCUGCUGCAAAAUGGCUUAUCAGAAAAUGUGCACAAACAAGAUGAGAUCAAGCUAUGCAAACUUCUCAAAAUCUAGGACAUGGCAUUCACUUUCCACAUGUGUGCUGUCCUUCUUAUGAGCCUGACUGAAAUCCAUUAUGUCAUCACUGUUCAAUGAGGCUAGAGAAAGCAGAAGCAUUAGCAUCACUGAGCUGUCAAAAACCAGACCUUCUUGUGGGUGAGGCUGAAGCACCGAAGGGAAAAUUUUGCACAGGAUGACCAGUUUUGCCUAGUAGAGGCACACUUGAGAUGUGGGCCAAAAGUGUUUCUGGCACCACAGCUUAAAGGACAUCUUCUGCACCACGUUCAGGGCUCAGCAUUUCCUAGGUUUUCAUCAUGUUUUAGAGCAGUAUACGCUGGAUAGAUGGUACAGGAGAGGAACCACCUCUGAAUUCAGUGAAAGCAGGAUUGUGCCCAGCACUUCUCUUCAAAAGUAGUUUUGUUAAAUACAGGCAGUAUCAGUUAAGAGAUACUACAUUUUAUAAUUCUCUGCUUUAAAGCAUCUUGCAGCAUCUAACACACAGUGCUAUCAAAGUGUCAGUAACAAAAUGUCACUGUGUACCUGCACUUCAAGAUCUUUUUCUUGAGCUUCUGACUGUUGUCAGUGAGGCUAAUAGCUUAUAAUUAAAGCUACUUAGAAAAACAAAUCAAAAUACAGGAUUGUUUGUAGAAGCAAGGUUCUUCUUAAUUAAUGCACUGGGACAGUUCCCACAGCAAGGUGCCAUAACUCUCUCCAUUACCAUGAAUAUGCUUAGGAAUUCAUUUAUUGGAAGAACCUUCAGCUAAUAAAGGGUAAUUAUUUAGAGAGUUUGAACUUUGGUUGUUUUUCAGAGAUUUUCCCUGCAAAAUGAGAAUGUUAUUAUUUUCUUGCUUUCAUUCUUUGUUUACCUUAUGUAAAAUACAAGUAAAACAGUGAGAUUAUAUGGUUCUAUCUUUACUGACUAAA